rnacentral:rRNA from 1 species
UACGUAGGUGGCGAGCGUUGUUCGGAUUUAUUGGGCGUAAAGGGUCCGCAGGGGGUUGAUUAAGUCUGAUGUGAAAUCUCACGGCUCAACUGUGAAACUGCAUUGGAGACUGGUCAACUAGAGCAUCGGAGAGGAGAGCGGAAUUCCUGGUGUAGCGGUGGAAUGCGUAGAUAUCAGGAAGAACACCAAAAGCGAAGGCAGCUCUCUGGACGAUUGCUGACCCUCAGGGACGAAAGCGUGGGGAGCAAACAGG